AACAUUGUGAAUUGCAGAAUUCCGUGAACCAACAGGGUUUUGAACGCAUACUGCGCUUUCGGGAUAUCCCUGAAAGCAUGCCUGCUUCAGUGUCUACUUCUUAUCAUGCCAGCGGCGCUUUCCUGGCUCUCGUCAGGUAACUGCUGUCUGCGCGUGUCUGUGCAUCCGAGCGCCUCUGGCCUUCGAUGCAUGUAGUGCAUAGGGAAGCUCUCUGGCGGGCAAACAAGUAAGCAUCUUCUCGAUGUCUUUCUUUGUCUCGCUGUGAGCGGCCUCCUUUGUCUCCAUAGGACGUCUUCUGGCGGCCUUCUCUCCAAGACAUGAAGUUAGGUCGGCAAACCCGCUGAAUUUAAGCAUAUCAAU
rnacentral:rRNA from 1 species